rnacentral:pre_miRNA from 1 species
UUAGUAUUCUCUCCGUCCAACAAAAGAUGUCUCAAGUUUCAAGAUUUGGAUGUAUCUAGACAUGACUUAGUGUAUAGAUGCAUUCAAAUUUAGUCAAAGUUGAGACAUCCUUUGUUGUUGGACGGAGGAAGUAUGAU